UAGUGGUUCAGAAAGUGUUGUCUGUACCUUUCUUCAUGCUCGUUAUAAUCUCUUGAUUAGCUGCUAAUCUCUAACUCCUCACAUCUAACCGUUGAUACUUGCAGCCUUCUUCUUCAUCAUCCGAUGAAAGUUCAUACUCCACCGGCACACUGGCAAAGAAAGAGGAUAAGCCUUCUUCAUCAGUAGAUAGAAGUACGUACCUCACCAGAACACCAGAAAACAAAGAGGCUAAGAAAUCUUCGGGUCCACUCGCACUUACCCUACUCGUUGAGGACGGGUCAAAGCAUGGUAGGAUUGAUUCCACCGC